GACAAUUAUCGAAAUAGUUUUCUUUUGCACUUCAACGAGUAAACAUCAAAGCUCUCUCAGUAUGCCUUUCCUAUUUAAAUUUUGAACUGGCGGUCCUUGGCAACAUAUGACGUCAACAAAAUCGAAUCUCUGACUUUGACUGUUAUUGGAUCAAUCUUCCUUUGUUUCCGACGAAUAAUCAUCAAUAUCUUAAGAUAUCUAUAACUUCAUUGCAAUCACGCAUAGCAUAGAAUGAAUUAAUCGACUGUUUGUAUCGCUUAAAUAAAAAUAUUACUAAGUAAAAGUAGUGUUUGUUCAUUCGCGUUCGCGAUUUAAACAACAAGUGUUCUUGCAUCGACUGCGUGCAGUGAUUAUUCGCAAAGGUGUUUUGCUCUUUUAAUAGUAUUUAUAAAAGAUAAUAGAGUUUCACGAAAUAAAUUCAGUGACCGUCCAUUAAUAAAUAACUAUCGCGGAUUAGAGUCAGUGCAUCAUUGAAGAGGAUCUCAUCCAAUUUCAAUGUCGAUCUACAUGUCAACCACAUGUCAACCACAUGCUAGCUACGAAUUAUCCAUCCUCAAUUUCGACUUAAAUCGUGGACGAGUGUUUUGGAGCCAUCGCAGAACUUCUUAAGUAGGAUCAUCGAGGGAUCAUCGAGGAAUAGAUUCAUCUGCGAUUGGAUAAUUUUGAUGUAUCGUCGAAUGGCUCGAUUGAUCAUCGAUUUUUACACAAGGAUACGGGAAGGAUAAGAGAACACUCUCGCGCCUGUGGGCGAACAC